AUUGAACGCUGGCGGCAGGCCUAACACAUGCAAGUCGAACGGUAACAGGAAACAGCUUGCUGUUUCGCUGACGAGUGGCGGACGGGUGAGUAAUGUCUGGGAAACUGCCUGAUGGAGGGGGAUAACUACUGGAAACGGUAGCUACUACCGCAUAACGUCGCAAGACCAAAGAGGGGGACAUUCGGGCCUCUUGCCAUAGGAUGGGCCCAGAUGGGAUUAGCUAGUGGGUGGGGUAACGGCUCACCUAGGCGACGAUCCCUAGCUGGUCUGAGAGGAUGACCAGCCACACUGGAACUGAGACACGGUCCAGACUCCUACGGGAGGCAGCAGUGGGGAAUAUUGCACAAUGGGCGCAAGCCUGAUGCAGCCAUGCCGCGUGUAUGAAGAAGGCCUUCGGGUUGUAAAGUACUUUCAGCGGGGAGGAAGGGAGUAAAGUUAAUACCUUUACUCAUUGACGUUACCCGCAGAAGAAGCACCGGCUAACUCCGUG
rnacentral:rRNA from 1 species